rnacentral:rRNA from 1 species
UACGUAGGGGGCAAGCGUUGUCCGGAUUUAUUGGGCGUAAAGAGCGUGUAGGCGGCCAUACAGGUCAGCUGUGAAAACUCGAGGCUCAACCUCGAGACGUCGGUUGAAACCGUAUGGCUAGAGUCCGGAAGAGGAGAGUGGAAUUCCCGGUGUAGCGGUGAAAUGCGCAGAUAUCGGGAGGAACACCAGUGGCGAAGGCGGCACUCUGGGCCGGAACUGACGCUGAGGAGCGAAAGCGUGGGGAGCGAACAGG